rnacentral:rRNA from 1 species
GACGAACGCUGGCGGCGUGCUUAACACAUGCAAGUCGAACGGUGAAGCGCUUUCCUUUUUGGUUGGUGUGGAUGAGUGGCGAACGGGUGAGUAACACGUGAGUAACCUGCCCCCUUCUUCUGGAUAACCGCAUGAAAGUGUGGCUAAUACGGGAUAUUCUGCGCCUGCUGCAUGGUGGGUGUGGGAAAGAUUGUGCCUUUGGGUGUUUUCGGUGGGGGAUGGGCUCGCGGCCUAUCAGCUUGUUGGUGGGGUGAUGGCCUACCAAGGCGGUGACGGGUAGCCGGCCUGAGAGGGUGGACGGUCACACUGGGACUGCGACACGGCCCAGACUCCUACGGGAGGCAGCAGUGGGGAAUAUUGCACAAUGGGCGCAAGCCUGAUGCAGCGACGCCGCGUGAGGGAUGGAGGCCUUCGGGUUGUGAACCUCUUUCGCCAGUGAAGCAGGCCUGCUCCUUGUGGGUGGGUUGACGGUAGCUGGAUAAGAAGCGCCGGCUAACUACGUG